UACAGAGGUCUCAAGCGUUGUUCGGAUUCAUUGGGCGUAAAGGGUGCGUAGGCGGCGCGGUAAGUCGGGUGUGAAAUCUUGGGGCUUAACUCCGAAAUUGCACCGGAUACUGCGUUGCUCGAGGACUGUAGAGGAGAUCGGAAUUCACGGUGUAGCAGUGAAAUGCGUAGAUAUCGUGAGGAAGACCAGUUGCGAAGGCGGAUCUCUGGGCAGUUCCUGACACUGAGGCACGAAGGCCAGGGGAGCAAACGGG
rnacentral:rRNA from 1 species